UACGAAGGGGGCUAGCGUUGCUCGGAAUCACUGGGCGUAAAGGGUGCGUAGGCGGGUUUUUAAGUCAGAGGUGAAAUCCUGGAGCUCAACUCCAGAACUGCCUUUGAUACUGAAAGUCUUGAGUAUGGGGAGAGGUGAGUGGAACUGCGAGUGUAGAGGUGAAAUUCGUAGAUAUUCGCAAGAACACCAGUGGCGAAGGCGGCUCACUGGCCCAUAACUGACGCUGAGGCACGAAAGCGUGGGGAGCAAACAGG
rnacentral:rRNA from 1 species